rnacentral:rRNA from 1 species
AACAGCCCUUCGACUUGGUAGACAUCACUUGCAGCUCAAAGUAGGUAAACCACCAGCAGCUAAGCUGGUUUGGGCCUGGCCAGUACUUGGAUGGGAGACCAACUAGGAAACCUGGGUUGCUGGUG